AGGAUGGAGGACACGGUGCGGUGAGCUCCACGGGCCGGGCACCGGAGGCCCCAGGAGGAGGGAGCGCUCCUGGCCGGGCGCCCCGGCCCCCGACUGCAGGGUGACGGGCACAUGGAUCACCCUCUCCUUUUGGCGGGAGACCCCCCAGCUCCCAGGGCCGGAGGCUCCAAAGCCAGGAUCCUUCCUACUCCGGCCACUGCGGCCUAAGGAGCAGUGCCCUCAGGACCCUCGGCACUCGCUGUGUGACUACAGACACAUAGGGAUCGUCCGCUCCCCUCUCCGUGACGAGGUCUCCCUUCCUUGCCAAGGCUGACACCUCAAGCACCCAGGUGACCCCCCCCUCUAGCCGACGGCCCCCUCAGGACCCCCAGCCCAGUGCCUCCGGCUGCUCCCUGGCUGCCUCCGGACACGCUCACAUCUCUCUCGGUCCCUGCGUCUCAGCGAGAGGGUCCCCCCCAGGCGCCUGCCCCACUCUCCUCGGCCACUGUUGGGCAGCUGGGUCCCUCUGUGACCCUUCUCUGGCCCAUUUUACAGAGGAGCAAACCAAGGCACAGUGAGAUGGCUCAGGGAUUGGAGGGACUCUGGCCCCCCCGGCUGCUCUCCCCUCACCACCCAGCUCCUGACCUUCUCCUCCCAGUCACUCUCUCUCUGGGGACUUUCUGUGGCCCUGAUGUCUCUGAUGACUGACUUAUUUUUAAUAAAGGUUUUUAUUUUCAAAACAGA